AGUGAACGCUGGCGGUAGGCCUAACACAUGCAAGUCGAACGGCAGCACAGUAAGAGCUUACUCUUACGGGUGACGAGUGGCGGACGGGUGAGGAAUACAUCGGAAUCUACUUUUUCGUGGGGGAUAACGUAGGGAAACUUACGCUAAUACCGCAUACGACCUACGGGUGAAAGCAGGGGACCUUCGGACCUUGCGCGAUUGAAUGAGCCGAUGUCGGAUUAGCUAGUUGGCGGGGUAAAGGCCCACCAAGGCGACGAUCCGUAGCUGGUCUGAGAGGAUGAUCAGCCACACUGGAACUGAGACACGGUCCAGACUCCUACGGGAGGCAGCAGUGGGGAAUAUUGGACAAUGGGCGCAAGCCUGAUCCAGCCAUACCGCGUGGGUGAAGAAGGCCUUCGGGUUGUAAAGCCCUUUUGUUGGGAAAGAAAAGCAGCAGGUUAAUACCCCGCUGUUCUGACGGUACCCAAAGAAUAAGCACCGGCUAACUUCGUG
rnacentral:rRNA from 1 species